UUAUUGCUUUGAUCAUGAUUGGUUAAUCUGGCUGUCAUCCAGGAAACUGGACAGUGAAUCGGUUCGCGCCUUUCUACAUUUGAAAAUAUGACCGUUAUUAUCGUUCUUUCUGUGAGUGAGGCGGCUGACUGUGAGCUGCUGCUGUAACUGCUCGGUCGGUCCCGAAUUAUUUUAUAUUUGCCUGUUAAUUAUUUUUUUUUUGAGCGAAUUUGAGUCGUGACAUGUCAAUGGAGAACAAAAACUGUAAUGUGAACACAAGAAGUGUCAGAUGUGUUCUGCGAGGUCCUGCAAACAUACUGGCAAACUGAGAGUCAUCAAGGAUCCAGCUUUUUAUUGAAACAUUGGACAGUACAGAAAGCACACAAAGUGGGAGAGAGUGGAGGGGACGGCAUCAGAAAGGACCUAGGGCUGGGACUCUUUCAAGGA